GACGAACGCUGGCGGCGUGCCUAAUACAUGCAAGUCGAACGCAGUGGGGACGGGUGAGUAACACGUGGGUAACCUCCCAUCAGAGGGGAUAACACUUGGAAACAGGUGCUAAACCGAUACUGAUGGAUGAACCCGCGGUGCAUUAGCUAGUUGGUGAGGUAACGGCUCACCAAGGCCACGAUGCAUAGCCGGCCUGGGGGGGGGGUCGGCCAACAUGGGAAUGGGACAAGGCCCAAACUUCUACGGGAGGCAGCAGGAGGGAAUCUUCGGCAAUGGACGGAAGUCUGACCGAGCAACGCCGCGGGAGUGAAGAAGGGUUUCGGAUCGUAAAGCUCUGUUGUUAGAGAAGCGGUAACUAACCAGAAAGGGACGGCUAACUACGUGCCAGCAGCCGCGGUAAUAC
rnacentral:rRNA from 1 species